rfam:Naematelia encephala strain 68-887.2 BCR39scaffold_2, whole genome shotgun sequence.
GGACCCCUAGCUCAGCUUGGUAGAGCAUCAGAUUCCAAGUUUGGUUUUAUCUGAGGGUCGUCCGUUCAAGUCGGGCGGGGUUCA